ACAGAAUCUAGAGAGAGAAAAAUGCAUGCAUAAUUACAAUGUUAGCAUCAACAGUACCGUACGAAAAUGGUUUUACUAUCAUACUGAUUAAAUAUGCAGGACGUAGCUGCUUUCCAUACUAUUCAGACUUGUUUUGAGACGUUCACUGCAGCUCGUGGUGUGUUGCCGUAUUGACAAGUUAUGUCAUCUUUAUUUAUAGGGAUGGGAGGAAAAAGAAGCUUGGAAUUCAAGAAAGCAUUGUUAGCGUAAUGGGUUACGGAGUUUCAUUAUUUUGUUUCUUUUUGUUCCUUUGGCUAUCAAGGUUCAACAAUCUCCACAACGCCAGGACGAAUUCCCUUUACCAUCUGUUUAGUAUAUUGCGAAAUCCCAUACGGAUGCAUGACUCCCUGGGAAAGGAGCGGGGUUGACACUGACAAGUAGAUAUAAUGUGUAUCUGAUGCUGAAGACUGUUUUAUUACACGAAAAUCAUCAGAAGAGAUAUCAAAUUACCUGCUUGAAAAACCAUAUGAUGAGGUACAGGUUUUAGUGGGAGAACCAUAUAUACAGGUUUGUGCUACCCACAACUCAUUGCUGGACACAUAAUGCUUAUCUACCUGGAAACCACAGCUCCCUGUCACCAAAUUCCUACCAUUUAUACAUUUUUGUAAUAAUUUCUGUCUACGACAUUUUUCCGUUCCAUUGUCAAUAAUCUUGUUAAAUCUCUUGUAUUUGCUCUAUUUUUUCACUGAAGAAGUUUACAAUGUCAAAUUUUCUUCCCGUAUUUCUCGGUCUUAGUUUUCGCUCUUUUAGCUUUUACGCUUUGUAAAACAUCGCCGGAUGAUGGCUUGCUUGACACUGAUGGAUGAAGAUAAUGCUGCCUUACAUGCACACUGAUUAUAACUGAUUAACAGCAGUAACAGUUUACUGUUUCAACUC